rnacentral:rRNA from 1 species
AUUGAACGCUGGCGGCAUGCCUUACACAUGCAAGUCGAACGGUAACAGGUCUUCGGAUGCUGACGAGUGGCGAACGGGUGAGUAAUACAUCGGAACGUGCCCGAUCGUGGGGGAUAACGAAGCGAAAGCUUUGCUAAUACCGCAUACGAUCUACGGAUGAAAGCAGGGGACCGCAAGGCCUUGCGCGAACGGAGCGGCCGAUGGCAGAUUAGGUAGUUGGUGGGAUAAAAGCUUACCAAGCCGACGAUCUGUAGCUGGUCUGAGAGGACGACCAGCCACACUGGGACUGAGACACGGCCCAGACUCCUACGGGAGGCAGCAGUGGGGAAUUUUGGACAAUGGGCGAAAGCCUGAUCCAGCCAUGCCGCGUGGAGGAUGAAGGCCUUCGGGUUGUAAACUGCUUUUGUACGGAACGAAAAGACUCUGGUUAAUACCUGGGGUCCAUGACGGUACCGUAAGAAUAAGCACCGGCUAACUACGUG